UACGGAGGUGGCAAGCGUUGUUCGGAAUUACUGGGCGUAAAGGGCGCGUAGGCGGCAAGGCAAAUCAGGUGUGAAAGCCCCGAGCUUAACUCGGGAAUUGCAUCUGAAACUGCUGUGCUUGAGUUCUGGAGGGGGUAGUGGAAUUCCCAGUGUAGCGGUGAAAUGCGUAGAUAUUGGGAGGAACACCUGCGGCGAAGGCGGCUUCCUGGACCUGAUCUGACACUGAGGAGCGAAAGCGUGGGGA
rnacentral:rRNA from 1 species